rnacentral:misc_RNA from 1 species
AAAUAAUAUGAGGUAGGUCCUCUUAAUAACAUAAAUGCAUAAGUAGGAAAAGGACAUGAAGUCUGCGAAUGGAAUUUUUGACAAGCAUUGAAUUCUUAGCUUGGGCUGCGCAUAGCGUGGGCCCACUUUUUGGAAAUGAAUUAUUUUACGAAGACUUAGCAUAUUGAGCAUCUUUAUUCUCACAUUUUAGCCCACACGGCAUAGUCCUUUCCAGAGGAAACAACCUGGAAAUUUGAGGGAAUGAGGGUUCCAAGAUCGGUCUUCGGCCCAAUCUUCAUAAUGAUAUUGUCGUUAAUUGCCGCGACGUAGAGAUCAGAAUCAGAGGCCAAAAUAUUAACAGAGCUUGUUGAAUCAAUCCCGUAGUUCUUUCUUAUUGUGGCCAAUUUACUGAUCUCUUCCUUCAGUCCCCAGUCAAAGAAGUGAUCAUAAAAUAUGGAAGGAACUCCAGGAUGAGUGAGUAUGUAAGCGUAUCCCAGCAUGACUUUAUCAGAUGGGAAUGGCCAAAGGUGUUGAGUAGAUCCAGUGUCGUGAUUAUCGAUGAAGGUCACUGCAUUUUGUGGGGAUAGUCCAAUCAAUCCUGGAGGCUUUCCAUUUGAGUCUUUCAACCUCCACAAUUCUCCUUGCACAGCA